UUUAAAAAUAUUUUUUGAUAAAUCCUCCUAAAAGGUGAAGUGUGGUACUGUCGAUAAAUUGAUUAAUGCAAACAUAAUGAAAUUAAAUUCUGGCUCAUUGGUAGCAUUCUUGUCCCUGUGUCAGAAGAUCAUCAGUUCAAACCCAACUUUAGGAAUUGGGCACAUGACCUCAGCUGAGGGAGUGCUGCACUGUCGGGAAGCGCUGUGUUUUGGAUGAGGUAUUAAACCUCUCAGCUGAACCAAUGAUGCAAAUGGUACUAUGAGAUAACUCCAGAGUUACAAGAAGUAAGCGGAAGAUCGAAGUAUAAUAGUCUGCAAUUCCUGUGCUCGAGGCGAACAUGCUUGGGAUGGGACUCUGGCCAUUAACCUGAAGGGGAGCACACCUCUUCACCCAUUGCCAGAAUCAAGGCACCUGCAAGAGUCAUCAAAUAACCUCAUUCUACUGUGUACAACUUUCACCUUGGUAAAAGACACCAAAUAAAAUGCUGUGAGAUUCGAAUUGGAAGGGAUGUCUGCAACGUCGCAUGAUCAGUUUGGAACCAGCAAAAGCAGAUCAGGUCCUCAUUAAAACUGGAAAAAUCAGAGGAAAGUAUGUUCAAAACUUAGGUUGUGACUGCAAAAUAAAUAUUUGACCCCCUUG